ACAUAUAUUGACAAUUCUACCCAUAGGGUUCCUUAAUAUUUUCGUCUUAGGUAUCAGGCUCACCACUGUUGUGUUGAGAUUCCCCAAUAUCCGGUCGGUAUUGAAAAAUUCCUUGGCCGCAUCAACCACUUCCUGGCCAAUUUUGCCCCAUUGUUUCUUGAAGAAGGCCGAUGAGUAGCCAUCAGGUCCAGGGGUCUUUUCAUUUUAAAUAUCAAAGAGUGCUUCUUUGAUCUCUACAUCAGUGACCUCUCGGAUUAGGUCUCUGCUCUCCUCUUCACUGACCAAUUGUCCUUCUCUAAUCACUUGUUCAUCAAUGGGCUCGGCUUGCAUCUUAGUUCCUAAGAGUGAUGAGUAGUGCUCCACGAAGUCAUGGAUGAUCUCUCCUUGAUCCCUUGUAAUCGUACCAUCAUUCCUAUGGAGGAGGGAAAUGUAGUUCCGUGAGUUAUUUCUCUUGACAAGGGAGUGGAAGAAGGAAGUGCUCCGGUCGCUAAGCAGAGAGAACUUGAGCUUUGCUUUCUAUUCAAAGAAAGCUCUCUCUAAUUUAAUGAGAGAGCACCAUAAAGAAGAAAUCAAAAGCCAAAGUAUGAGAGACUUAGCUUUCGAGACAAGCAGACCGAGCAGCCCUCCCGGUGUUGGGAAUCGAUGGUAACGUCUGUUAGAGUUUAGUAUGCUGAAAGCAUCUUUCGAAUGCUUGUAUAUGUAAUAACUCUUCUAUCCAUUUUUAUCAUUUAAUGAGAAAUAAUAUGUUGUUACAAUG